GACGAACGCUGGCGGCGUGCUUAACACAUGCAAGUCGAACGGAAAGGCCCUGCUUUUGUGGGGUGCUCGAGUGGCGAACGGGUGAGUAACACGUGAGUAACCUGCCCUUGACUUUGGGAUAACUUCAGGAAACUGGGGCUAAUACCGGAUAGGAGCUCCUGCUGCAUGGUGGGGGUUGGAAAGUUUCGGCGGUUGGGGAUGGACUCGCGGCUUAUCAGCUUGUUGGUGGGGUAGUGGCUUACCAAGGCUUUGACGGGUAGCCGGCCCGAGAGGGUGACCGGCCACAUUGGGACUGAGAGACGGCCCAGACUCCUACGGGAGGCAGCAGUGGGGAAUAUUGCCCAAUGGGCGGAAGCCUGAUGCAGCAACGCCGCGUUCGGGAUGACGGCCUUCGGGUUGUAAACCGCUUUCGCUUGUGACGAAGCGUGAGUGACGGUAAUGGGUAAAGAAGCACCGGCUAACUACGUG
rnacentral:rRNA from 1 species